GCCUCUUUCUCACUUUCUCGUUCACGAGAAAACAACAAUGAAGGAACAGAGCAAAAUUUCCUCUCUGCCUUGCUUUGAAUCGCUUUCGAUCUCUGUUCUCUCUUGCUUGCAAACAACAAACAAAAAUAGGUUCUCAAACUUCCUCUUCUCACAGUGAACAGUAACGAUGACGGCUCUCUCUCUCUUUUUCCGAUGAACAACAAGGAGGCUACCUCUCUCGAUGCUCAUCUCUCUAUUUCUGCGAACACAACAACAGCGAGAACCUCUCCCUUUAUUUCUCACGACGGCCAUGAGAGGAGAAACAAGGAUGAACAUAGAACAAUACCGUCUUUCUCUCACUCGGUUAUGUUCUUUCAAACAACAACUUUCGGUUUAUGUGUUUGAAGACAAACUCAAGAUAGUACACAAGAACAACAAAAAAUCUAUCAACAACAACUGACAGCAAUUUAAAGGGGUGAGAGUGUAGUCGGACUUACCUACGGCGAUGAGGUUUUCGCCGGUU